rnacentral:lncRNA from 10 species
UGUGGACAGCCUACACCAAGGGAAGAGUCAGGGGAGAAGGAACACAAGACUCCGGAAGCAUGCCAGCGUAUAAAACCGUCAGGAGCAAUGGCUGACGCCUGUAAUCCCAGCAUUUUGGGGGCCUAAUCGGGCAGAUUGCUUGAUGCCAGGAGUUCGAGACCAGCCUGGCCAACACGGUAAAGCCGCGUCUCUACUAAAAAUACAAAAAUUAGCCAGGCUUGGGACAGAACUGGAGUCAGAGAUACCAAUUUGGGAAGGAGAAGGAUCUAGUGACAGAAACUUGGGAGUGCCCAGUGGGACUGCACAAACAAGCCAGAAACUGAACCCUACCCGGAAUCCCCUGGUGUAUGAAGGGAGCCUAGCUCUGGCUGACUCUGCUUGUGUUCACAGACACUUUGCCUCAUUGGUUCGUGCCUCAGCUUCCAAUCUGGACAUGGAGCACAAUAACAGUGGGCCCACUGCUCUCCGAAUUCCUGCGCGCACUUGAAGGAACAUACACACACCCCUGAUUCCAGAAACACAACAGGAGCUGACUCAAAAGGGAGUGUCUGGUGCAGGCAUGCAGGGAGGAAGAAUGACUCUGAGCUUGACCAUUCAACUUCGAAACUUUAACAUCAAUGGAUCAGCACACACUGGUGUACGGUCUGCUAUGCAUGCAGCCCUGUGCUAGGCAAAAGAAGUAUCAGACCAGGAACUGACAGCCUCACUGCAACAGGAAGAGAGGCUUCACACAAUAAGCGUUUCAUUCAACCAGGCUGGACCUGUGCUUAUUGAGUUGAACAUCACUGAGCACAAAAUGCAAGCCAGACACCAUAAGAGCUGUAAGGAUGAUAAAGAUGUCUUUCUACCCUCGAGAGCUCUAAGUGUGGUCAGGAGAGAAACACAUGCAAAGAUUAUGCUGGCUGGAAGGAAAUGCUGGAAUGAAGGUGGAAGGAUUCUAUUCAUCUAAAAGCACCGGUAAUUAACGAUGCUAAUAAAUGUAUAAUCCCUUUGUAAACAUCUCUUCACAAGGUCAUAAAGAAGGAAGACUGAAUGAAGGACGCCAGGCUUUCAUUUUAGAAUUAAUUUUGUCAUUGAAUGCACUCACUGCAUUAUUUGAUAGAGUACUUUUGCAUUUGAAGUAGUACAUUUGCCUUCUACCAUCUCAUUAACAUUGCUUUCAACAGAAUCAGAAAUAACACAAACCACUGCAGGGUAAUUUUGAAUGCUCAUUUGACUAUGCAGUGACAUCAAGUGGCGAGUUGAGGAAUGAUCAUAUGCUGUGUGAGAACUCCGUGUUAAAAAUUCCAUGGAGCCAGGCUAGACACCACAUUUGGCACUUUCAGCUGUUUAGAUUUCAGAGAAUUAAAAGGAAAUGGUCACCGACCUGCCUUUGAUAGUACCCGUAUACCCCUUCCCACCAUAAGAAACCAGCGUUCCUUAGAGAAAUGGCUAAUUCUAGCUCUAGGGCAAGAAAUGCUAAGAUGUGCUCAAAACAUCUCAUUAUACCAGCAAGCCAGGGAGCCAUCAACGACUACUGGAGCUGUGUCAAAAGGACCAACAAACCAACUUGAAGAGGCUCCCGCUGGCCAACAGUGGGGCAAUUAGAGCAUCAAUAAGAAUAAUAUCUGUAACAAACUGAAACGUAUCAAAUAUGUUUAAAUUCAUAUGUUUAUAAUUACACUCAAAAAACGAAGAUGCAGACCACUUUACCUUGAGGAUGUUACAGAAUGAAAUUAUCAUUCUGAAAACUGGUAAAUAAAGAGAAGGUAUCAAGUAAGCAUGUAUCUGGCUUUUUCUAUAUGAAAUAAAGGAAGCCAAAUAGUAAACGAGGGGAAGUUUCUCUUUACUGAAAUAUUGCAGGUAAUAAAAGAAGAAGGAGAAACAGAGAACAUUAUCGUUUUAUGGCCUCUAAUGGAACAAGACAUCUAGGCAAUGAUGAACUAUGGUCACCAACAUCACUCAAUCAGGGACAAUCAGACACUGUGGGCCCCUGAAGGAAGUAAACACCACCACGUAGGAAAUAUUCUCACCAAAACUUCAAAAACUUGAAUCUGAUCUAGUCUUUAGUUUCAACUACUAAUUUACAGGCAAUACGGGGCUCAGAGGGAUGUGGUAAAAUGUCACGGAAAUAUAAUCAGCAAAAUCCAGUACAGAUAAUAAGAAGACAAAUGAUCCACAGAUGGAAAGGAAGAAUGUAAAGUUGUGUUGGUAAAGAAAUUCACAGAUUAAUAAAAGCUUAAAAAUGUACCAUCAG